UACAGAGGGUGCGAGCGUUAAUCGGAAUUACUGGGCGUAAAGCGCACGUAGGCGGAUAUUUAAGUCAGGGGUGAAAUCCUGGAGCUCAACUCCAGAACUGCCUUUGAUACUGGGUAUCUAGAGUCCGGAAGAGGUGAGUGGAACUCCUAGUGUAGAGGUGGAAUUCGUAGAUAUUAGGAAGAACACCAGUGGCGAAGGCGGCUCACUGGUCCGGUACUGACGCUGCGGUGCGAAAGCGUGGGGAGCAAACAGG
rnacentral:rRNA from 1 species